AAUAUGAAUUUGGGCCUCAAUAAAUUAUAGCUUAUUUAUAUUGGACCAGAUUUAUGAUGUUGGGCCGAAUAUAUAUUUAUGUAACUUUGCAUAAUUUUAAAACAUUAGCUAUUAUAUUAAAUAUAAAUUUUUAUUUUAAUUCUGUUAGAGAUUUAACUAAGUUUGCUUCAAGUUUAAUUUUGUGGACUUCAAAUCCCCACGUAUUAACCGUAGCACCCAAGCAUCAAACAGCCGCCUUACUUAUUUUUUAUCCACAUCCAUCUUCAUCACCGCCAUUGUUUUUGCAUCAUAUUUAUUCAUCUUAUUCCUAGCUCUGUAACUUACAAAUCAUAAUUUUUACACAGCAAGCAGAUUUCUCUUUCCGGUGCGGCGCGACUAGGACGUUACUUUUAUUUGAUUUACUCAAGUUAGCAUACAAGUUGAAGUUCAAGUUCAAGUUCAAAAUUCAGGUUUUAAAGGCCGGAGACGCGUGGAAGGUCGAAUGGCGAGUCAAAUAUUUUGUAUUUAGCUUUAACUAAAGAUGUUAUUUUGAGUAAUAUAUUUUAAAUAAAAAUUUAUUUCACUAUUUUCUCGUUAAAUAUUUAUUUAUAUUCAUAGUUUUUCCGCGUGCGUUUUCAUUUAAAAUUAAAAUGGAUUUGGGUGUCACAAAUCCCAUUACCAAAUCCAAAUCAACGUAAAAGUCAAAUACAUACCCAGAGUUGUUUUGGUAUAAUUCUGCCAACUUUUCUUGGUUUCAGAUUCUCACUAUUCUUUUAGAGAAGCAAAUUACUACUACUAUAUUAUAUAGAUAGAUACAGCAGCGUCCAUGAUAGUGUGGGAGGAGGAAAAAGAGGCUACUGCUUUCCUCACUCCGUUGAAUCCGAUGGGUUGGUAAGGCGAGCGGGUGGCGCGGCCGCUAUGGGUUGCGUAUCGUCGAAGCAAACGGUGUCUGUUACGCCGGCCGCACUGGACCACUAUGGGGCGUUCAAUGGUGGGUCUGGUCGGAGUUGGGUGGGGGGCUUCGGCGGCGGAGCUGGAUGCGAACUUGAAGAAGGUGAAGAAGAGGGGCGGUUGUUUUUGUUUUACUUUGAGAGAAAAGAGAAAAACGAUGAACGAGAUAAGAGAGAGAGAGAGUCCAGGCUAGCUGUCCAACGGUAGCAGCAUUUUUUUUAAUAGUAUAUUAUAAAAUACAGCGCGCACCAUGUGAGCGCAAGAAUUGUACAGCGCUCAUUUAAGUUUUUGUGUAUUUUUUCUAUUGUAGAAUGAAUACUUAAACAAUUAUUAGUGUUA